rnacentral:rRNA from 1 species
AUAUCAGUUGCUUUGGUGAUUGUUAGUUUUAAUAAUUGCCAGAGGAAUUUCUAUAAACCCUGUAUGUUGUCCAAUAAUUGGUUACUUCAUGUCUGAUUUUUGAUGCUUUAAUAGUAUUUAAAACUUUCAACAAUGGAUCUCUUGGUUCUGGCAUCGAUGAAGAACGCAGCCAAAUGCGAUAAGUAAUGUGAAUUGCAGAAUUUUGUGAAUCAUCGAAUCUUUGAACGCACAUUGCGCCUUUUGGCAAUCCAAAAGGCAUGCCUGUCUGAGUGUUGGUACAUUAUUUAAACAUUCUGUUUUCUUUAUAGGAUUAUGGUGAUGUUUAGUAUUGAUGGUGGACUUCACUGGUUUUUGUAAUUAGUAAUUGUCCCUGUUGUAAUGCAUUGUACCCAAGUGUCUGGUCUAAAAAUUAGUUGUCGCAAGCAUUGUCUUUUCAACUUUAAUUUUGUAUGGACAUUUUGGAAAUCUAAAUAACCAAAGACUUGUCUUUAGUUUUUAAAGUUAACCUCAG